GCGAUCGUAGUGUAGUCUGGCUAUCACUCUGGCUUGCCAAGUCAGUGACCCGGGUUCAAAUCCCGGCGGUCGCA
rnacentral:tRNA from 1 species